UACGUAGGGGGCAAGCGUUGUCCGGAAUCAUUGGGCGUAAAGCGCGUGUAGGCGGCUAGAUAAGUCUGCUCUGAAAGCCCGGGGCUCAACCCCGGGAGGCGGGUGGAUACUGUCUAGCUCGAGUCCGGAAGAGGAGUGUGGAAUUCCAGGUGUAGCGGUGAAAUGCGUAGAUAUCUGGAGGAACACCGGUGGCGAAGGCGGCAUCCUGGACCGGUAUUGACGCUGAGGCGCGAAAGCUAGGGGAGCAAACGGG
rnacentral:rRNA from 1 species